GAACACAUUCUCAAGCUUAUGCAAUUGUUGUUGAAGACAAUUUUAAAUUCACAUAUAUAAUUGUUAAAUUGAUUUUCAUGAACUUUAGCAAGGUGUUAUUGCAGGAUGCAGGUGAAGCCGUCAUCUCAGCCAAUUAUUGUUUCCAUCCCAAUCUGCCAUUCUGAUGAUACUGAAUCUGCUAGGGCUUCUAGAAGACAGUUGAUGGAGACUAUUUAUUCAGUCCUGUUUGAUAUGAAUGCUCCAGCUGUUUGUGCCAUUGAUCAAUCUUUAUUUGUAGGACUUGCCCCUUAAACUGUAGAUAUAUCUGAGAUGGCUAACAUGUUUCUGGACAAUCAGGUUCUUGGAUGGUUGUGGUGAGGUUUUCUUUCUUUUCUUAGCCGCCUUGUUUUCCUGCACGUUCAAUAAUCUGAGUACUUAUCAAGAUAAUAGCCAAAUUAUUUUUUAUUCAUUUUCCUUUCUCAUGGCUAACAUUUUCAUAUCCUGAUCUCCCCCAUUUAUUCCCAUGAUGGCACUUGAGAGAUUUUGAAUUAUAAGCAUGAAACAAGAUUGAAGAUCAAGGUUUUUAUGCUGGAUAGCAUGUACCAUGUCAGGCUAGUAUGGGUACUAGAUGGGCACAACACUUAUUAUGUCCUUUUCUUUUUAAUUUUACAAGUAAUGAAAAGCUUUUAUAUUUUUUGUCUUUUUUCUAAUAUUUCAAAUUGUAGCAGAUGCGGAAACUGUGUGUUGCUGGCACUUGAAUUAGACCUGAGCAUAAGUUGGACUGCACUGGGUUUGGUCGGACCUUGAGCUUAGUUUCAAGGACUUGCAAGCAUUAUUCAGCUCGAGUCUGGUCUGACCUGAAGGUGCACCAAAUCCAGUGAGGCAGCAGGUGCAAAUAGUUUUCGGGCAG